GAAAGUUCCAACCUUCUGAUCACAUGCUUGGUUCCUCUGGUGACCAGCCGUCAUCCUGAAGCUGUGUAAGGUUCCUGCCACCAGUCACCUCAUUAGCAUAAACCCAGAGCUUAGCAAAGGAAGCAUCAAAGGAAAAUAGCAGAAGAAGUGUCAUUUGGGCAAUGGAGAAGCCGUAAUCUCACGUAGUGAUGUUCAAGCUGGCGUGUGUCUGCCUCGUGUGGAAAAUGAUCUGCCUCUGCACAUGUUCUUGAAGGUGCCCAGCCCUCUCCCACCUCUCCUUUCACAUUUCCUUUUUGCUGCUUUAUAAAGAAUAGCUUGGUUGGUGGUGAUCAUUUUGCAACAUAUAAAUAUAUCGAAU